rnacentral:tRNA from 1 species
GAACCCUUGGCACAGUGGUAGCGCGUGAGAUUCCAGUUGGUGGAGCAAUCCACCUGAGGGCAUCCUCAAGGUCGUCCGUUCGAUCCGGGCAGGGUUCA